GACGUAGGGCGCAAGCGUUGUCCGGAUUUAUUGGGCGUAAAGAGCGUGUAGGCGGCUUUACAGGUCCGUUGUGAAAACUCGAGGCUCAACCUCGAGACGCCGGUGGAAACCGUAAAGCUAGAGUCCGGAAGAGGAGAGUGGAAUUCCUGGUGUAGCGGUGAAAUGCGCAGAUAUCAGGAGGAACACCCGUGGCGAAAGCGGCUCUCUGGGACGGUACUGACGCUGAGACGCGAAAGCGUGGGGAGCAAACAGG
rnacentral:rRNA from 1 species